GCCUCCCGCCCCUGUGGUGGUUCCCGACACCCCCACGGCUGCCCCGCAGCGUCCACGUUUCCGACCACAGAGAGCCCGCAGGGGAACAGCGCCUCUCGCACGGCCGCUCGUGCAGCGAGCGCAGUGCCACCAGCAUCCCAGGGCUUUUGCUAAACCGCUGGAAAAUAGAUCACCCCGCCUCUUCCUUGGACCUUGUACCGCCAAAGGACCCUUCAACCAGUGAAAUAUCAGGUAUGACGGGGGACAGACGUUUACAAGUGCACCCGGAUCUGUUUAGCCAGCUGCCUGUACAAACAAGUGUAACAAGUCACAGGUAAUUGUUUACACACAGUGUUUAUUGCAAAUUACUGUCACUUCCUCAGGAUGUUAGCAUGUUGUAUAACAAAGCUCCAGUGGAUUGUUUUCUAGCAAGGGUAUACACUGGUGAUGUGCUUUCCUAAGUGCUGAGCUUGUCCCAUCAACUAAGUUUCAUACUUAAAAGAUUACUUAUUUUACAAAUUAAAUUCCAUAGGCAGCAGCAGUGGUUUCCACGGGGUAAAUGAGAGAUUACUUCUCAAGGAUCCAUAAGGCUUAUAACAACAAAAUAAUGCUCUUUAUUAUUAAAUAAAAUAGAAAUUAAAAGUCUGCUUCUUUGCAGUAUUUUUAAGUCAAGGACUCUAAAACCUGUGAGACAGAACAUAACUGUACCCAUUUACCAGACAGGGGCAGGACAGGACAGAGGUGAGGGAAAGACACAUCAGUGUAGAGGACUGGUGGUGUUGAAGUCCAACAGCAAGUGUCACAAAUGCUACUAUGUUAACUCAAGAGGGAAAAUUGAAUCCAGAGGAAAAGCACUUUGGGAGUCAGAUGAAGUCAGAAAGUCAGUCCUUAGCAAUGUGCCCCGCUCUAGGACUGUCUGGACUAGGAAAAAGGCAGGUCAGCCACAUUCAAGGGAAUUUGUGUCUAUGGGAUAUGGUACAUCCCUAAGCACAACCCCAUGUUACAUACAGUUUGAGAAGGAAUAUCUUUUUAGAGUUCUGUAGCAUGGAUGUGUUGGUCUCGUUCCAGGAACAAUGUCCCAUCUAGCUCACAUUUUGUAUUCAUUCAUAGAUUAUAUAUUGUGUGCACUUAGACAAAGCUACCUCCCACUCUUCUCCUUAAUUCUGAACAGAAAACUCAAAGGAGUUUUGAGACUUAUCAUGAUGUCACCAAUGCACCAAAUAAGAAGAAACAGAAACAACCAGCAGAGAUCCUGUUGCUCUAGGAUGGACUAUUUUUUUCUAUAAAAAUAAAAC
rnacentral:lncRNA from 1 species